rnacentral:rRNA from 2 species
CCCCGAGAUGAGUUCUCCCUGAGACUUAGAGUCUCCUGAAGGAACGUUGAAGACGACAACGUUGAUAGGCCGGGUGUGUAAGCGCAGCGAUGCGUUGAGCUAACCGGUACUAAUGAACCGUGAGGCUUAACCUUACAACGCCGAAG